AAAAUCUCUUGGCCUGAAAAUUUGAAAGGUUUUUGUUUUAAUACUCGAAGUGAGAUAAAUGGUUUUAGUCUUUUAGAACCGGUAUACCCAGGGGCGUAGGAAGCAUUAAAAGAUGGGGGGAGGCGGUUUCGAGGGGCACUUUUGGAUGAAAAGGACACCUGAAAAAUUUUCCCGGAAAUGUUUGCGACGGUGUGGGGGGUCUGCAAUCAUACAAAAUGCAAUUUGAACAACAUUUUUCACGAAAGCAAAGGGCACUUUGCCACCGGAGAGUGGGCAUUUUUUGUGGUUGCUGAAGAAGAAAUAAUUGCAAUCAUAAAAAAAUGCAAUCUGAACAACAUCUUUCACGAAGGCAAAGCUAGGGCACUUUCUGUGUUUUCUGAAAAUUGGGGGGGGGGGGAUUGGCCCAUCUCACAGAAAAGCUAGAUAUCAACCUCGUACCCAGGGCAUUUUGCUUCCGGUCAGCGAAAAUGGCCCUGGCAUCUGCCGAUCACAUGACCUUAAAACCUC